rnacentral:rRNA from 1 species
UGCGCAGGCGGCCUGAUAAGUCAGGGGUGAAAUAUGUCGGCUCAACCGGCAAACUGCCCCUGAAACUGCCAGGCUUGAGUCCGGGAGAGGAUGGUGGAAUUCCUGGUGUAGCGGUGAAAUGCGUAAAUAUCAGGAGGAACACCGAUGGCGAAGGCAGCCAUCUGGCCCGGUACUGACGCUCAGGCACGAAAGCUAGGGGAGCGAACA